rnacentral:rRNA from 1 species
AUUGAACGCUGGCGGCAUGCCUUACACAUGCAAGUCGAACGGUAACAGGUCUCGGAUGCUGACGAGUGGCGAACGGGUGAGUAAUACAUCGGAACGUGCCUAGUAGUGGGGGAUAACUACUCGAAAGAGUGGCUAAUACCGCAUGAGAUCUACGGAUGAAAGCAGGGGAUCGCAAGACCUUGUGCUACUAGAGCGGCCGAUGGCAGAUUAGGUAGUUGGUGGGAUAAAAGCUUACCAAGCCGACGAUCUGUAGCUGGUCUGAGAGGACGAUCAGCCACACUGGGACUGAGACACGGCCCAGACUCCUACGGGAGGCAGCAGUGGGGAAUUUUGGACAAUGGGCGAAAGCCUGAUCCAGCAAUGCCGCGUGCAGGAUGAAGGCCUUCGGGUUGUAAACUGCUUUUGUACGGAACGAAAAGCCCUGGGUUAAUACCCUGGGGUCGUGACGGUACCGUAAGAAUAAGCACCGGCUAACUACGUGCCAGCAGCCGCCGUAA